GAAGUUUGUUCUUGAGAGGUGGAGAAUAGUUGAGGAGAUGAUGGAAGAUUUAAAUGGAGAUGCUCAUCCUGGUUCAAGCGAUAUGGAAAAUCCUUAGUGAGUUUCUGCCAUAUUCUCUCCAAAUAAGGAAAUUGAAGCUUACAUGUCUAAGUGUUGUAUGUAGAAAAAAUUCUAGAGGCUGUAGAACAACUAUUGUGAAGUGCAUGACCAUAAUCUA
rnacentral:misc_RNA from 1 species